GAUGAACGCUGGCGGCGUGCCUAAUACAUGCAAGUCGAGCGAGCAGACGAGGAGCUUGCUCCUCUGACGUUAGCGGCGGACGGGUGAGUAACACGUGGAUAACCUACCUAUAAGACUGGGAUAACUUCGGGAAACCGGAGCUAAUACCGGAUAAUAUAUUGAACCGCAUGGUUCAAUAGUGAAAGACGGUUUUGCUGUCACUUAUAGAUGGAUCCGCGCCGCAUUAGCUAGUUGGUAAGGUAACGGCUUACCAAGGCGACGAUGCAUAGCCGACCUGAGAGGGUGAUCGGCCACACUGGAGCUGAGACACGGUCCAGACUCCUACGGGAGGCAGCAGUAGGGAAUCUUCCGCAAUGGGCGAAAGCCUGACGGAGCAACGCCGCGUGAGUGAUGAAGGUCUUCGGAUCGUAAAACUCUGUUAUUAGGGAAGAACAAAUGUGUAAGUAACUAUGCACGUCUUGACGGUACCUAAUCAGAAAGCCACGGCUAACUACGUG
rnacentral:rRNA from 1 species